UCGAUGAAUAUGUAAAUCGUUUAAAUCGAGUUUAUCCUGAACGUGAGCCUAUAAUUGCGCUGAAAUAUACAUUUUAUAUUGAGGAGAUUAAAUGCUGGUUAACACAAUUUCAACAAAGAAUUGAUCGCAAAUCAAUUGAAAGAUAUUGCAAUAUAGAAAUGUCUCACUAUGAAAAGCUAUCCUCGAUACGAAAUGAGUUGGACAGAUAUA